GAUGAACGCUGGCGGCGUGCCUAAUACAUGCAAGUCGAGCGAACGGACGAGAAGCUUGCUUCUCUGAUGUUAGCGGCGGACGGGUGAGUAACACGUGGAUAACCUACCUAUAAGACUGGGAUAACUUCGGGAAACCGGAGCUAAUACCGGAUGAUAUUUUGAACCGCAUGGUUCAAAAGUGAAAGACGGUCUUGCUGUCACUUAUAGAUGGAUCCGCGCUGCAUUAGCUAGUUGGUAAGUUAACGGCUUACCAAGGCAACGAUGCAUAGCCGACCUGUGGGGGUGGUAGGCCGCACUAGAAGGGAGACACGGUCAAGACUCCUGCGGGAGGGAGCAGUAGGGAAUCGUACGCAAUGGGCGAAAGCAUGACGGAGCAACGCCGCGUGAGUGAUGAAGGUGUUGGGAUCGUAAAACUCUGUUAUUAGGGAAGAACAUAUGUGUAAGUAACUGUGCACAUCGUGACGGUACCGAAUCAGAAAGCCACGGCUAACUACGUG
rnacentral:rRNA from 1 species